UACGUAGGGUGCAAGCGUUGUCCGGAAUUAUUGGGCGUAAAGAGCUCGUAGGCGGUCUGUCGCGUCUGCUGUGAAAACUCAGGGCUUAACCUCGAGCCUGCAGUGGGUACGGACAGACUAGAGUAUGGUAGGAGAGAUCGGAAUUCCUGGUGUAGCGGUGGAAUGCGCAGAUAUCAGGAGAAACACCGGUGGCGAAGGCGGAUCUCUGGGCCAUAACUGACGCUGAGGAGCGAAAAGCAUGGGGGAGCGAACAGG
rnacentral:rRNA from 1 species